AGAGCGCCUCAGAACGCCGACCAUCUACUUCCGGACCAUGGGUGCCGGUGGGAAACGGAAGCCGCAGAAAGCGGAUCGGCGGAUAAGCGGGGAAUAUUGAAUGUGAGGCUCUCUUGAACUAUAAAGUGGAUCUCAACAAGGCGAGCAGCGAACGAGCAACCGUCAGCUCCUGACAUCAGCCCCCAUAGACUCAUGUUUGAGACCUGAGGAGGCAAAACCUGAUGGAAGAAUUUUCCUGAGAAGCUCUGUGAGGCUGGAGGCAGGUCCCAUAAUGCCUGGGACCUGGUGACCAAGUAGGACAGCCAGGGCAUCUUUGGUGAUCAUUUCCUGACACAGUAGUGCUGGGAGCUGCCUGGGGAAUUUAUCUUUCUUGUCUUUGACCUUGUUUUAUCACGAGACUGCUAGUGGUCAAAUGAUAAAGAGGAGCAGUUCCAGGAGGCCAAGCUUCUUGCGUGCAUCACUUCAAGCCCAGGCCAGUGUGGCUGAGUAGAUGGCUAAGUGCCCAAGGAGCUAGAGUUUUAUCUGAGGAAAACCAAAGCCUGAAAAGGCAAAUAAAUCUUCCUCCCUCCUGUCUUCGGUCAUGUAAAAGAGGUGUUUAUUAUUCAAAAAAAAAAGAAAAAAGAAAAGAAAAAGAAAAAAAAAGAGAAUAGGACCUAAUGAAUAGAAGAAGUCAUGUAGCCUUCUUUCUUGAGAAUUUGAUGAUGAAAAGGUGAAAUGUAAGGCAUUAGCCCAGAAAAAAAGGAAGUUGAGCUAAAGAAAGAGUAGUUGUUUUUGUCACUGUUUUUUAUUUCUUUAACAUCUGGUGGAGUCUCGAGCACAUGUGUGUACCCAGAAGAGAAAGGGUACAUGAGAGGAGGGGAGAUAACUGAGGAAGCCAGAUUCUGGGGGCUCAGGGUGAAAGCCAAGGCUUGGAAAGUGGCGGAAGAUUUUCUUCUGGGAUAAUAAGGAAGAAGGAAGCAUAUGUUGAAGCCGAGAGAAGUCUGAAGAUGGUGAAGAAGGCCACAUCAGUGAGUUUAUCCCUGACGAUCUUUUUUUUUUUUUUUGACAAGGCAGCUGGCGAGGAAAUCUCUGAAGGUGAAAAGAGCGUGAAUAUACUGAGAGAGGAUGUUGUUAAUAAACACCAGUGUCUUGUUGUUAAUAAACACCAUUGUCUUAAUAAACACGUUUAAACACAUUG